AAUAGCUAAGGAAAGGUUUUAUGUACACUUUUCACAGUAAAAAAUGAUGUAAAAUAUUAAAUUUUGAAGUUAUAAGUCUAACAAUUGUGUAGAAAAAGAAUCGACUAAAUCAGUUGAUUUCUAUCAAAUCGUAAGAUUCGGUUAAGAUUUAGGUACAUUUGAGAUUCACCUUAUGGAUUCGAAUUGCUAGGUCAGGGAAUCGAAUCAAAUUGUAAUAUUCUAAUAGAGAAUCAUAAGAUUUUAACAAUAGUGAAUGCAAUCCUUCAGUUAGUUAAAAGGAGAGGAUGAAGAUAUUGCAAUGUAGCUUAUGCAUUCAUUGGUAGAGGAACUUAGCAUUAUGACUUUUAGUUGUGCGCCCCCGCUUUCCUGCGCAACUUUUAUGUUCCUUUUGUGGCUUUCUUGUUUUCUAGUCCUUUCCUUUGAAUCAAGUCAUAGACUUGUUUCUUAAGCACAUUAUUAGUUUCAACAUAUGAACAUGAAAAUAUUUAGGUCUUGG
rnacentral:misc_RNA from 1 species